UUGAUAAUGCUGGGAUGUGAUGGGGAGCGAAAUUUAGUAGCGAAGUAGCUGAUUUCACACUGUCAAGAAAAGUCUCUAUCGAGGUUAAAGGUACCCGUACCGCAAACCGACACAGGGGGGUGAGGAGAGUAGCCUAAGGCCAGCGAGAGAACUGUUGUUAAGGAACUCGGCAAAAUGACCCCGUAACUUAGGGAUAAGGGGUGCCACCAUCAGGUGGCCGCAGAGAAUAGGCCCAAGCGACUGU
rnacentral:rRNA from 1 species